ACAGCGGCGAACGGGUGAGUAACACGUGAGUAAUCAACCCUCGGUACCGGGAUAGCCCGGGGAAACUCGGAUUAAUACCGGAUGGCCCAUCCGCUUUUCGGAGCGGUUGGAAAAGGUAGCUUCGGCCUCCGACCGGGGACGAGCUCGCGGCGGAUUAGCUUGUUGGCGGGGUAACGGCCCACCAAGGCGACGAUCCGUAGCUGGUCCGAGAGGACGAUCAGCCACACUGGGACUGAGACACGGCCCAG
rnacentral:rRNA from 1 species